AGUGAACGCUGGCGGUAGGCCUAACACAUGCAAGUCGAACGGCAGCACAGUAAGAGCUUGCUCUUACGGGUGGCGAGUGGCGGACGGGUGAGGAAUACAUCGGAAUCUACUUUUUCGUGGGGGAUAACGUAGGGAAACUUACGCUAAUACCGCAUACGACCUACGGGUGAAAGCAGGGGCUCUUCGGACCUUGCGCGAUUGAAUGAGCCGAUGUCGGAUCAGCUAGUGGGCGGGGUAAAGGCCCACCAAGUAGACAAUCCGUAGCUGGUCUGAGAGGAUGAUCAGCCACACUGGAACUGAGACACGGUCCAGACUCCUACGGAGAGCAGCAGUGGGGAAUAUUGGACAAUGGGCGCAAGCCAGAUCCAGCCAUACCGCGUGGGUGAAGAAGGCCUUCGGGUUGUAAAGCACUUUUGUUGGGAAAGAAAAGCAGCAUGUUAAUACCCCGCUGUUCUGACGGUACCCAAAGAAUAAGCACCGGCUAACUUCGUG
rnacentral:rRNA from 1 species